UACGGAGGGUGCAAGCGUUACCCGGAAUCACUGGGCGUAAAGGGCGCGUAGGCGGGCUGUCAAGUCCGGGGUGAAAUCCUCCCGCUCAACGGGAGAACGGCCUCGGAUACUGAUGGUCUCGAGGGAGGUAGGGGCACGCGGAACUGUGGGUGGAGCGGUGAAAUGCGUUGAUAUCCAUAGGAACUCCGGUGGCGAAAGCGGCGUGCUGGACCUUUUCUGACGCUGAUGCGCGAAAGCCAGGGGAGCAAACGGG
rnacentral:rRNA from 1 species